UAGUGGCGACUAAAUGACAUCCUUAUGUCUGUCGGGAUUUAAGGAGCAUUAUGUUGUCUGACUGCUGUCUGUCUUCCUGUGUCUUUGUGCUGUUUGACUACUCUUAAGUGUGAUGGUAAAAUGUGCGAUCAUGUCUGUAUGUUUCUCCAGAGUGAGACACUUAAUAGAGUUUCUCAGUCCGCAAUAGACACAGCCUGUACGGAUUAAAACACACAUACACAGAAUUUAUUUUCCAACCUCAUACAGUAAGUCUUUGCCCAAGGACUAAGUGUGUAUGCAUUGCACAUAUUGGAGCUUUCACAUGCACGUAGAGUCUCAUAUGUCACUCCGUUGCAUUCGUUCCUGGAAAAUAGAUCUUAGUUCUGUCAAAUCUGGGCCUGCAGGCAGAAGAGACCUUAACGGAUGUCUCUCUCAGUGCAACACACAAGCAACCCCUUUCUCUCACCCGCACACAUACAAGCAGGUCUCAGACUCACCCUCCUGGACUCACAGUGAAGAAUACAGAUUCAGGUCCCCCUGGAGAUAGUCAUCAGCCUGGCUGUGGCUUCAGAACUGCUAUCUUCACCAGGCUGCUGAAUUGAUAAUACUCACCCGUAUGCAUUUUAUUACAAAGGCCCAGUUUGUAAAAAGGUAAUCAUUUACUGUUGCUACUAUCUACCUUAAGCCAUACAUCUUCUGUCCUCACAGGACAAAGUUAUUCCGCUGCUUCUCUUUUUUUUUAAACUAUGUGGUACUUUUCAAUGCAUUUGUAAAAUAACAGCUGCUGUAAGGGUUUUCACCUCCUGCUUUAUCCUCAUAGCAAGCACCAUUAACUGGAGCUUGUUAUUAAAUGUUAAAUGUGAUCUUUUUUUUCUAUACAUGGGCACAGUGUGUGUGUGUGUGUGUGUGUGUGUGUGUGUGUGUGUGUGUGUGUGUGUGUGUGUGUGUGUGUGUGUGUCUGUGUGUGUGUGUGUGUGUGUGUGUGUGUGUGUGUGUGUGUGUGUGUGUGUGUGGUACAUCAGGGGUAAAAAUGACAGUGAAUGAAGGGCUAAUCCCUUCGGGUAUAUAGCAAAAUUCCAAUAGCAGGCCCCCAAUUUCAAUUAUCAUAUUUAUCAUAUAUAUUAAUUCUGUCCGGCUUAAUGCUGUCUCCUUUCCUCACUUUUGCUCUUUCUCACAGAUCAUUUUUCUGUACAUUAAUCUAUUUUCUCCCUCCGUUGCAAUCUCCACUGGUGGCAUGUAAAUCUGCCAGUCAUGUUGAUUGACAGCACUCAUGUGGCCCGCAGUGAAGUGUCUCAUUUUUUUCUUUUCAUGUUUUUUCUUCUUGGUCAGACGCUGUAAUCGGGAGUCUUAUCGGGAAACCCAAUUUAUCAUUUUGUUUAGUUUUUUUUUUUCUUAGAGCAAAAGCGAGUUGCCACUCAAAGUGAUUGACAAGCUCUGGGAUUUGCAGACCGGAGAGCUGGGAUUUCCUUUAGGAUCCCAGGUUUAUUUUUGCUUUUUUUUUAAAGAUUGCACAUGUCUUUUUUUACUAAACGUCCAGUGCCACACUCACAAACUCUUAAUACACAGAUAGUCAUACUGUACAUUAGGUGCUGUUUUGGUUUGGUCUGACCUUGGCUGUGAUAUCAGAUGGCAAUCUGUAGUCUGCUCAGCACGUACCAGGUUAAAUGUGACCCUGUGAACCUCAUACUUUUGGCAAGGAUUUCAUUCUCAUAAUCAAUAGUAUGUGUUGGGUAUUUCUAGUUUACAUUUUUUACAUGUGUCAUAUUGCCCUGUUUUAAAUAGAUGAAAGUAAAUUUAUAUUCUCACUUUAUCUGGAUGCUUCUUUCCUGAGUGAGUCAAACGUCAAUGUGUGUCCUUUACUGGAUAUGCAUUUCAAAAUACAUCUGUGUGUCAUCUUGUGUUUUUAUUAAAUGUAUUUUCCUGUAUAUGCACGUAAUGCUUGUUUACGUCUAUCAGCUUCCAUGUGUAAGUGAUUGUGUGUGGGUGUGACCUCCGAAUACCGAGGCUUAUCGUGGCAGUGUUCCACAUUAUUGAUAGCGAGCAAAGAUAUCGACAGGCCCAGCACCGGCAGCUUCCAGCAACGCCGGCAAACGGGAUGGGGCUUUGAUAUGACAUAUUGUGCGUCUCAGCACAAGCCAUAAAUAAUUCUGACACGUUUUUGUAUGCAUGGGAAAGUCCUUGAUUCAGCCUCCCAUAAAAAUAAACUUCUAUUAUGGAAGGUAUUUGUCAAGUGGGUGCGUGAUGGAUGGCCCGGCGUUUACCCUGUGGCAGGACGAUGGGUUAUGGAUGCCCGCCGCCCCUUGCUGGGGGAGGAGUUGUACCUAGCAACACUGACACCAGAGUAAUUACUUACCUCCUCACCACCGCAACACUGAGAGGAGGGAGUGGAAGGGGUCUGAGGGCAUAGUGGUCUGUGUCUGCGUCUAUCUAUUGGGCGGGGUAGCAGUUUAUACAAACACCUCAACAACCUUCUGUCACCACACACCCUCCACUACCCAUCCUUAAUUUCCUGGAACAUCGGAAGCACAAACCCAAUGCUACAGGGGAACUUGCAUGUACCAGAUGUACCAAUUGUAAUGGGUGGACAUAAACAACAUUUUCAUCAUGAUUUGAUAAUUUUGUAUCAUUUCAAACAUCAGGCAUGACAUAACUAUGAUUGCCAUUUCUUAAUUUAACUCUCCAGCUAUGACAGGCGGUUCAGAAAAUAGAUGGUUGUCUUAUUUGACUUGAAAAUAUAUGAACUAUGCCUGGAUCGCAUUUUAAGGCUCCCCAUACAGUAUGCCACAUUGUAUGACUUUUUUAUUCAUCCACAAAAAAAUGGUGACCCUCAACGAAGACGCCUAUCGCAACAGAAAUGGGACAUGGCCGAUAAUUAUAGGAACGUGUAUAUAUACUGAAAGGCGAGGCUCGCUCGCAUUGGAUCGACGAGGCUCAGGCUGCUCGUAGAUUUUUACAACAAGCUUUCCUUAUUUUAUUCACUAGUAAUUUUGAAACUAUAAAUAUGGUCAUGUUACGCUUUAAAACAGAAAAUAUGUGUACCGUUUGUUUAUAAUUCACAGAAAACGGAUUUCUUGCAUGUGUGCUGGCUAGGCAGCAGUGGUUGCAUGUGUCUCUCCUCCCUCUCCCCCGCCGCAAGAUGAUUAUUGGGUGGUUUUAACUGUCAAUCAACGGGAAACUUGAAAUGAUGAUUUUUUUUUAACUGAGCUUGUGUGGCAAUGUCACGUGACUAAUAUUGUCCUCAUUUUUAAUAUCUUGAAUGUUCAAGGUAUGAUCAUACCUUCUUCUCACCCAGACCUAAUCAUGGUACAGUGAAACUCCUCUACAAUGAAACCUACAUGGGUGAAAAUACACCCUAGUGUGAAAAAAUCUUCAUGCAUUAACACCAUUCCCACUUUUCUGCCCCCAUACAAAAAAAAAAAAAACCCUGCUGCGUUAUACAAAAUCGUUUUCUCUGCUCUAGCCCCGCGACGAGAUUCACUACAACAAAGUCUAAUCCAACCUGUACUGCUUCGUUCGGAAAUGGCAACAGCAACCACCACACUAGCUUACACAUGUGCAGUAGUCCAGGAAGUAUUUGUUAUUGUUAGUUUCAGACGCAGCAAGAAUGUUGCAUUGCUAAAAUGGCUGCAAAACGGACCUUUCGAUGUCAUGCAGCUAAGACAAUAAGAGCUCUGACGUUGGAAGAGAGUUUAAAAGUGAUUAAAAUGAAACACGGAGGAAGCAAAAUAAAACAAUAUCCAAGAAAUUGGUGAAAGGGAAUGCUGAUCGUAAAUUUCGCAAUUUCUUUCCCUUUUUUUCUUUCUACACUGACUAUAUGAAGUGUCAAAUUAGUUUAUGCUCAUGUUCAUGCCCUAUUGGAUUAAAAAUAAAGUUUACACAUACCUUUUUGUGUGUGUGUGUGUGUGUGUGUGUGUGUGUGCGUUUGUAUUCAUGACAUCUCAGGACAAUUUUAUGAUAACACACCUUCACAAUGAGGACCUGUGGAAAAAUGAGGACAUUUUUCGCGUCCUCAUAUUUCCACGCAGUCUACACUACUCUAGAGCUCACGAGGAUACUCCCACACCAAAAAUAAGUGAUGUCCUGAAAGAGCACAAUUUUCAGAAAUUGUGUGUUUAAGUGUGUUUAACUUUCGACUCACUUUUCAUUUGGAAAACUAGUGGCCAACUUCGGUACUUAACACACUUUUAACACACUUUCAGUGACGUCAUUGUGCAGGACCUCAAAUGUCAUCUUUUUCGGACUGACUCACACAUUUUCCCCGCCCUCGUCCUGAUAAGUCACAUCAAUUAGCAGUCACACAAAAUCCAACAUGUGAAGCAGCCAGACAAUCCUACUCUCAAACACGACCACGCGUGGAUGACCAUCGGGUAAGCAAUUCCUUUUCAUUUAUCUUACCGUAACAUAGAAGUUGUUCAAUAUAACCGUGUUUAACAGUGCCCACCAAAGGUAAUAUCAUUCAAUAAGACAGCUAGCUAGCUAGCUAGCUCGAUCGUUAGCAUGCUAAUAAGCUUCCAGUAAAAGUAAUGUGGACAUGUCCUGCAGGCAAGGUUCUGGAAAACUUUUCUAAAUCUUUAACAACACAGUCUGUGGAACUUGGUUUUGGUACCAUAUGUUUAUUUCAGUGCAGUAUUUGUUUUAUUCGAUUGCAGUUAAUUUAAAUUAGUUAGUACAGGUAGCCUAAUGAAAGUGGGCCAGGCACUUCUAGCAUUUACGCUAAGCCCGGUGUAUUUACACUGUUUAUUCUUGUGCUGAUUCAAUUGUACACCGUUUCAAUGAAAAAAACAAACAAACGUUUGCAAUGAAAUUAUAGCAGAAUUCAGCUUUGUUGGUACAUUUGGUCAAGACAAUAUUGUGUUACUCUAUUUUAAUUUUACAUUGUUAUCUGCCUGACAAAUGGUUUGCCCGAAUCUAUUAGUCUGACCAGCAAAUGUUUGAUGAAAUGAAUUUUUGUAUUUUUGAGGAAGAAAAUAAUAUUCCUUUGGCUCAGUACUUUUUGAGCCAAAAUAAGUGCUGCCAUAAUAUUGUGCUUGCUUGUCUGGCUGACUUCUUCUCACUUUCCAUUGUAGAUGUUUACUGGUGGUGAUAAUGUCACAAAGAAGAACCAGACUGAGCCCUGAAUCUGAGGCUGCUCCUUUUAUCUGGAGUCAACAAGCCUUGUUUGAAAGCCCAGUGGAUCAAUGAUUAUAAAGGUAUGCUAUCAAUCUACCUGCUAUCUAAUUCUUAUGGCUACCGCAAGCAUAUGACAAGAGCUGCAACCAAAGCCUGUCACAGUGACAGAUUUUAUUCGUACAUUGUAUUUACCCCAAAACUGUCACAAUAAACAGCAUAUUUUUUAUGCCAUUGAUCAUAUUGGAGCAAAAAUAAUUGAAGUACUUUUGAAGAAAAUGUUUAGCAGCCAUUAUCAUACAAUUAUUGAGAAUAUUGUAUUGCCAUGUAGAACUAGGAAUAUCUUGGAAUGAAAAAAUAGAAAUAGAAAUUAUUCGGCUUCUGUUAAAAUAUUGUGCUUCACCAAAUAUCACAAUUCAUAAAAACGCAUACAUCCAUAAUAGUCGAGGAAAAUUAGAUGCCUUUAAACUUCCUUCAUAAUGCUUAUUUCACCUGAUUGAAGAAGGCUGUGGUAGCUGUUUGACAAAUCCACAUUUUUAUCAGCAAUUUGUACUGCCCAUUAAAAGUCUCUACUUAGUUGAAAACAACGAAUGGUCACCGGAAUUAUUUUUCAGUCAUUACAUUGUUUUAGUCUGAAAGAGUAUGUUUCGGGUGUUGUCUUUAUUAUUUGAACUCAGUCAUGUCUGUUGUCCUGAAAUUGUUAGCUAUAAGAGCUGUACAGUGGUAACUACCAUAAAGAGCCGGCUUGUGCUGUGUAUGAAGUUUAAUUGAUUCUAAAGUCAUGUAACUACGACAUAUUUCUGACACUCUAUGGUUGCUAUAAUGUUGAUUUUCAUGAUUUCAGUCAUGCCCUCAUACUUCCCAGUUACUGUAGAAUACUUUUUAGAAUAUUUCUGAUACUGUAAUGUUGCUGAAAAACCUGAGUGUGAUCAGGUGAAAUGACUUUUGUCUGGACCUAACACUGGAGAGCCUGUGUUCGAAUGUCCCGUAAUGGCACCGUAAUGGUGUUAUGUUGCAGACACCAAGUGACGGGAUCUUGACUGAACCUUCUGGAGACCAAGAAGGGAGUGAGAGAUCCACUUCAUCCUUACAACAGACACCAAGUGACCUGACUGAACCCUCUGGAGACCAUGAAUGGAGUGAGAUAUCCACUUCAUUCUUACAACAGACACCAAGUGACCUGACUGAACCCUCUGGAGACCAUGAAUGGAAUGAUAGAUACACUUCAUCCUUACAACAGACACCAAGUGUUCCGAUCCUGAUGAAACCUUUUGAAGAUCAAGAAAGGAGUGGAAGAUCCACUUCUUCCUUACAACAGACACCAAGUGACCUGACUGAACCCUCUGGAGACCAUGAAUGGAAUGAGAGAUCCACUUCAUUCUUACAACAGACACCAAGUGUUCCGAUCCUGAUGAAACCUUUUGAAGAUCAAGAAAGGAGUGGAAGAUCCACUUCUUCCUUACAACAGACACCAAGUGACCUGACUAAACCCUCUGGAGACCAUGAAUGGAAUGAGAGAUAAAUUCUCAAAAUUCUCAUUAUUUCCUGGAAUAUCUUAUUUUGAUUAUUUUAUUUUUCCAUUUUUAAUAAAUAAUGCCUUCUUUUACAGGUGGGAAUAAGAGACGCACGUGGACAGAUUAUGAAGUGAAGGCUGUUGAGCGACAUAUGUUUGAUUUCAUAACAAGCCAUAAAGUUUCAGGUAAAACGAGCUGUGAGUCCUGUCUCCACGCAGAGCCAGCAGCUCUGAACGACAGAGACUGGGUGUCCAUCAAAAACUACAUCCACAACAGGAUAUAACUGCAUUAAAAAGGGAAAUGAAUGGCUAGUCCAUUGAAAUGCGAGCACGUCUGGGUACAUUUCAGUUCAAGUUAACUAAAGCAAUAGCAAUGGUGCAUUUAGGGUGGGAUGGUCAAUUAUGGAUUUCAUAUUUGUUGUUGGAUACUGUGUUUCACGUUUGUUGUUUCAUGAUCUUCAAGAGCAAUUUGGAAAAUCCUUGAAGAUGUAUGAACAUGUAAAUUAUACUGUAUAUCAGGCAUGUUCCGAUCUGGGCCUGGAGAGCCACUGUCGUGCCUGUUUUCCAGCUCUCCCGGCUGCAUCACACCUGUUUCAGAUGAUCAGUUCAUCAGUCAGCUCUGAUGCAGCAUUAGAACAUCCUGGGAGAGCUGGAAAACAAAAAGACAGCGGCCCUUGAGGACCGACCUUGGACACUCCUGCUGUAUAUAAACGUACGUACGAUAUACAAACUUCUCACAAAAGAUAGGCUUAUUAGGUUUGAGGUGAUAUUUUGGAAAAACCCUAAAACAUUUGAAUUCAUCCUAUUUCAAGAAUUUCAAUACUUUUUGAAAAGUUGCUUUUGUCUAACGGUAGCUAAAGAAGUUGCUACACACAUGGCACAAUAUAUGGCCAGAUUCAUUAAAAAUUCUUCAUCGCAGUAUUCACAUUUUGACAUAAUCUUCUUCAGUUCAAACAACCCUCAUCUAUUGCAGUGCUUUGUGUCAUGGAGAGGAGGUGGCAUGUUUUCUGUGUUCAUAAUUUCAUAUUGUCAGCAAUUAAAAAAUAAGAAAGUGGACUGACCACAUAUUUAACCGUCUCUUCUUCUUCACAGCUUAUUUUACUAUCUUGUAUUAUUAAUGUGAAUAUUUGAGGGAUGACGGGUAUAACGACUGUUUGGCACAUUCGCCUCACAGUUCAGCAAUUGAUAUUUGAAUGUUUGAAUCUGGGCAUCCUUCCUUUGUAGAGUUCUCCCCAUGCCUGAGCAUGACAAUUGGACACAUGUGCCUAACAUAUACUGUUGGUAUGUAACAUGAGUCAAUUUAAAAAUACACACUUUACUCUUAGCUGGUCUUCAUAAGUCAUAUAUACUUGAAAAUGAUGUGUAUCCAGGGGGCUCAAAAUUCACAAAAACAUGAAAUGGUAGUGUGUUUGAGGUGACUGUCUCCAUAAUACACAAAAACCUGUCAAUGUCCUCAUAUGUAGUAGUUUUGUCAUAAAUCAAAAAAAAAUUACGUCCUAGCCAAAAUCUGAGUAGAUGGCUGUCUUCCUGAUUUUUUUUCAUGGUUACCAUAUUUUUUUGGAGCCUGUAGGACCACGGGAAAGGCAUGUACCCAUAUGUCGGGUGAACAAACGGACGUCCUGAAAAUGCACCAAAACACGUAUGUGUGUGUGUGUGUGUGUGUGUGUGUGUGUGUGUGUGUGAGUGCGUGCGUGCGUGCGUGCGUGUGUGUGUUUACAUACUUAGGCUUCUCCUGUACAAUGGACGUUUUUAAAUAAUACUACGUAUCAGGUCGUAAUAUGAUCACACAACACUUUAUUGGCACAAGAAGGAGUCUCAAUUGCCUCUCAUGCACAGCGCUGCAGUAGGGCGAGUUGGGCCCAAACCGAUAGUGAACAUCCGGGAUAUCAAAAAUGGUAACACGAGCAAAAAAAAAAAAAAAUUCUCCCUGAUCCUCUCAUUUUAGGGGUGUUCACACGGCACACAUUUGCUCCGGUGCUGCACCGAUGUAUUUUGUUGUGAUAUAUCUUACAUCCGGGGCAAAUUUUGUGGAGCGUUCACGUACAAAGUCGCCGAGCGUGUUCACGCCAGUGCAGCCCCCGAUACAGCCCCACAUGCGUUCACACGGCAAACAAAGAGCUGUCGUGUUGGUUCUUUUUAAAACUCAAGCAACUACUUUACAACUCAACUCAACUCAACUGUAUUUAUAGAGCACUUUUAAACAGUAAAAACAAGAACAAAUUUAAGUCAUUCUGAGUCAAAUGCCAAAGAAUACAAGUGAGCUUUGAGGAGGGUUUUGAAGAUCGGCAGCGAGGUACAGGGGAGGUACAGGCACGUCCUCCUUCUACCUUCUGCUCGAGAGGCGUUCAAUGACCGCCCCCGAAAACGUAAAUCAACAAUGACUUCAAUGACACUCAGAAAAGCAAACAUAAUGCGCCAAACAGAAAAUCAAGAGAGGCAAUAACAAAAUAAAUAAUACGGGGGGGUUGUGAACACACAACAGAGGAACAAACUACACAAACAACUCCGAGACAGAGCACGAAAGCAACGCAUUCUAGCCGCAUGUAAUCAACUCUUCCCAUGCAUAGCGAGGCUACUCCCCCCGCAAACGAGCAUUUGCUCCGGAGCAAAUUUUUAAAUCACCUCCCUGAGGUGGGUUAAAUUUGCUCCGGAGGAAGCUGUUUUCAGGGGCUACAGCAGUGUAACUUUGCACGUGUGAACGCUCUACUGGGGUAGCCCCGGCGCAGCACCGGAGAAAAUGUUGCCAUGCGAGCACACCUUCUGUCUGCUAUACUGGUGACAUUUUGUGAGCUGGUUUGCACCUCUCGUUCAAACUAUUUAUUGCAAGGCACAAAAUCAGCCAUCACAAGUCCUCUCAGGUUUAAUUCAUUACAUUGCUCAUGCUAAAUUAAUCUUUUUGCGUAUAAUCCCCCAUUACUCGCCUAAAUAAAAUGCACUUGGCAGAAGCAAUUAUUGGUGCGACUGGUUAGUUGAUCGGCUUGUCGUUUUUGCAAGAUCAAUCAGUUUGCACCCGGUCUUGCAUGUGCACACUUUUAGACAAUGAUUACCCUACAUGCUACCAAAAAAAACCCAAAAAGGAGUUGAUCGGGAGUACCAAUUUGGUAGUGGUGUCAAUUGGUCACUGGCUUGAUGCAAAGGUUUAUCAAUCUUUAAAAACAAUUUAUACUCUAAGUAUAUGACUAUAAAAUAUUUUUAUAAUCCCUUAUAUUUCAAAUACUGUAUGUUAUCUAAUUUCUCUCUGCAGCAAAAAUAAAAUAAUUGCUCUCACUGUUCCGAUACUUUUGAAAGGGAUGCUGCAUGAUCCGAAAGUUAAUUGGUAUACAAAUUAUGUGCUAUUGUUACCAAGGUGUACCAUCAACGGUAUAAAACAAGUUCAUUUCUGAGAACCAUCCUAGAGACUUAGAUUGACUUAGAUUUGUUUUCAAAUUGCCUACAUUUGUCACCUCCACUUUUGUAAAACCCAUUUGUUUUUUUUGUAAAAAUGAAAGGUGUGAUGAUUGAUUGGAAGGAACUACGACUUUGUAAGAAUAUUAUACAUAGAAAGAACUAAACCCGUACAAUGGUCUCUGUUUUAGUUUGCAUGCAUUCAUGAGUUUAUGCCCAUGCACGUAGUUAUGAAUAUGUACAGGCAUUUGUGUUUGCUAAUUACGGCAUAUGUGCAUGUUUAUAUGUCAAUCUGUGAGCUAAACAGCCAGAUUGAGGGGCAUCGGGUGCCAUCUGAGGAUGAGAAAGGGUAGGCGUUGGGUAAGGAAUGUGUUCUCUACUAACCGCUACACACUUUCCCUGUGUGGGUGUGCAAGUGGCAGCCUGGGUCAUGGAGGGAGCAUAGUGGCAGCCCGUCAGUAGGAGUGACACCUGUUCACCACUGCUCACCACUUCAUCUUUACAGCUGCUCUCGGACCGCUGCCUCAGCCUUUUUCUCUUUUCCUUGUUCACUGCCCUCCUUCGUCCCCUCCUCCCAGAAUGCGGCACAGAGGUGAAGCUCGUCAGCUGAGGUAGCGGUGAAUAAAACAGGUCCAGAUGUUCUUUCAUGCGGAAAGUCAGUAGGAUUCUUGUCAAGACAAAAAACACUGACAACUAACAUCAACAUAUUGCCUCGGUGACACGAGGACUGCUGUUAAGUGAGGUGACUGGUACAGGUGGUUUGUGUAACGCAGCCCAUAUAAGCAAUGCACACUGACCAACUUAAAUUAGUGCAGGUAAGAAUAAACCAAAUGUGUGCCGCACUACACUCACAUUGAGCUGUAGCAGUAAGUAUUCCAAGUACCCUUUCGGGAACAGGUUACUAAAUCAUGAUUACACCUAACAGUAACUAAGUGUAACUUUAUAUACAAGUACACAUACAAGAGCUGUACAAACAUUUGUCAUUUCAAAUAGUUGAUCUGAUUGUAUUCUUGUUACUUCCUAUAGGAAAGCAACAAUUUGGAAUGCAACUAU